UACAGAGGGUGCAAGCGUUAAUCGGAAUUACUGGGCGUAAAGCGCACGUAGGUGGUUCGAUAAGCGAGAUGUGAAAGCCCCGGGCUUAGCCUGGGAACGGCAUUUCGAACUGUCAGGCUGGAGUGUGGUAGAGGGUAGUGGAAUUUCCUGUGUAGCGGUGAAAUGCGUAGAUAUAGGAAGGAACACCAGUGGCGAAGGCGGCUACCUGGACCAACACUGACACUGAGGUGCGAAAGCUGGGGGAGCAAACCGG
rnacentral:misc_RNA from 1 species